UGGAUCACCUCCUAACAGGGAGACAACAAAAUGUUAAAUAUUAUUUUGUCACCUUAGGUCGAUCGGUAUCUCACAUUCUUAAUUUAUUAAGGAUUUUAUUUCCUAAGUUUUUUCUAGGUCACACCCAUUACUUUUCCUGGGCCAUUAGCUCAGGUGGUUAGAGCGCACCCCUGAUAAGGGUGAGGUCCCUGGUUCAAGUCCAGGAUGGCCCAUAUCUCUAUGUUGGGGGUAUAGCUCAGUUGGUAGAGCGCCUGCUUUGCAAGCAGGAUGUCAGCGGUUCGAGUCCGCUUACCUCCACUGAUUACCACCUCUUCCAUAAUUGUUAAGGAAAUGUUUUGAGUAGUGAUCAAAUUCUGAACGAAUCUAGCUUCCUAAUGAAUUCAUUAAGAUGCUGGACUCAUUGAAUUAUUUUCAUUGUUUUCAGAGAACCUUGACAACUGCAUAGAUUAUUUUUAAAGACAAUAAGCAUCUUUAUGAUGCAGAUUUAUUAUUUGUGCGAAUGCAUUAAUAACAAUUCUAUUAAGCUGAUGCUUCAAUUAUGAAGUUAUUGGUCAAGCUACAAAGGGCUCACGGAGGGUACCUAGGCACACAGAGGCGAUGAAGG
rnacentral:tRNA from 1 species